AAUGAACGCUGGCGGCGUGCCUAAUACAUGCAAGUCGAACGGAGUGGCGCACGGGUGAGUAAUGUAUAGCUAAUCUGCCCUACACUAGAGGACAACAGAUGGAAACGGCUGCUAAUUCUCUAAAUGUUAUGAUGUGGCUAUAUUGUAUCAGCUAUUUGGUGAGGUAAUGGCUCACCAAGGCUAGGACUCAUAACUGGUCUGAGAGGAUGAUCAGUCACACUGUAACUGAGACACGGUUCAGAAUCCUUCGGGAGGCAGCAGUAGGGAAUAUUGCUCAGUGGGGGAAACCCUGAAGCAGCAACGCCGCGUGGAGGAUGAAACUUUUCGGAGCGUAAACUCCUUUUGUUCGGGAAGCGUUACCUAACGAAUAAGCACCGGCUAACUCCGUGCCAGCAGCCGCGGUAAUAC
rnacentral:rRNA from 1 species